rnacentral:lncRNA from 1 species
AUUUAUUUGUUAAUGACUAUAAUGAACUUCAAAUUCACGUAGCCAACGUUACUAGCAUCACGAGUUUUGUGAUGCUAGUAACGUUGGCUACGGCGCUGUUCUCUAUAUACGAUCGGAAAAUGGUUACACGACAUUUUCCCGAAAACUAGAUGAGAAAAUGUUGGUACUAACCAAAUUCUCUAGGCCAUACCGUUUCAAUUUCUGCAGGUUAGUAACACUGUUAAAGUAGUAAAUCCAAGGUUUGCAGAGUCGGUUUUGACGUAUGCGCGCGUAUAUGUGAAACAAUAAAUAUUAUAUAAAUGAUUUAUGACAUUUGAUUUAAUAAAUGAAUAAAAAUUACACAAAUAACUAAAAAUAUAGUGCAUAGAGAUGAACAAGGUGAACAAAUGUUUUAUAUAUUUAUAUAUGAGAGAACAAAUUAUAUUUAUAAUAUAUUAAUGUAUUAUAUAUUAUUAUAUGUAUUAUAUUACAUUAUAUUGUAUUUAUAUUAUAUUAUAUUAUAUUAUAUUAAUUUCCAAUUUCUUUAAUGUGCCUUUAUAAACACCAAUGCAUGAUUGAAUUUUCGUUCUUCGCCUUGGAAUUAUUCAGAUUUCAAGGAAAUGAAAUUAAUAGAAGAAUAAAGAAAAAAGCUGGAAAGAAAUAAAGGAGAAUAGACAAAUAUAUCAGAUAAGUAGCUAAUAUCUUUAUAGAAUAAAAAAUUGUGUAUCCUAUGUGCUUUUGUAAUCAUAGAGGAACUAGCUAAUUCAUUUCUUGAAUUAAUUUUUUGUUUCAGUUUCUUAGUCAAUCAUUUGCUUGUAGAAUGUUGACAGCCGGAGAACAAUCCCCUGCAGAGUGAAACUACCAAAUUCUAAGCCUACUACGUUCUCGAGUGUACCAAAAUUCAAGCAGAACGUGUUAUCCACAUUGGUCUUUGCAAGAAUGAGGAUUUGGAGUAGCAAUAGAAUGCUUGUCAAGGAUUAUUUUAUAAGCUGUUUCGUUUUGUUCGUGCCCAAAAUUGUGGAUGCCUCAUGAAGCUCCGAAUACGUUUCUGGUGCUCAGAAAGGUAAACUGUAAAUAAUAUUGCAUUUUAAAUGCAAUAAUAUUGCAUUUGCAAAAUGAGGCAUUUAAUAUACCUAAAAAUUCAACAAUUGUUGUGUGUUUUUUCAGGUUUAACCGAAGUUUUCGGUUAUGUCUCUCAGAAAUAUUAUUAGUCCUGUGUACUUCUUGAAAUACGCAGAAGGAAUCGGGCUUAAAAUUAUUCAGCCAUGUUUCUUGAUAAUAAUGGAAAAAGGAUUCCAAAAACGUGCAAUUAUGGAAUAUAAUUGUAGAUAUUAAUUUAAAGCCUUCUUUUAUCAACGUAUGUGGCAAACAUUUUUUCCAUACCAUAUUAAUUAUUUUUAAAAUGCAAUAUUAUUUGUCGUGUACAAUCAGGUCGUGUGCAAUCGGGUCGGUGCGCAAUCGGGUCCGUGUGCAAACGAGUCGGUGCGCAAUCGGGUCCGUGUGCAAACGGGUCGGUGCGCAAUCGGGUCCGUGUGCAAUCGCUUCCGUGUACAAACGGGUCGAUGCGCAAUCGGGUCCGUGUGUAAUCGGGUCGGUGUGCAAUCGGAUCUGUGUCCAAUCGGGUCUGUGUCCAAUUGAGUCCGUGUCCAAUCGGGUUCGUGUCCAAUCGGAUCUGUGUCCAAUUGCUUAUGUGCGCAAUCGGGCCUCACUUGUGGUUGACUGGGCCUUCGUGGUUAGUUAAACAUGAACAUAACUGACCGAUUGAAAUUACUCAACAAAUCGCAAUUCCGGAACUUAUCAAAAUACAUGUUUAAUAACGAUUUUUCGUGAUUCGAGUAUUUUAGAAGCGUAUUUGUCUUACACGAAAUUACUAAGAAUCGUGGUAUAUUGCCUUCGUUUUUUACGGGACUGUCCCGAUUGCGCACAUAAGCAAUUGGACACAGUAGUAUUUCCCGAUUGGACACAAACCCGAUUGGACAUGGACCCGAUUAGACACGGACUCAAUUAGACACAGAUCCGAUUGGACACAGAUCCGAUUGCAC